rnacentral:rRNA from 1 species
AACAAACAGAUCAAGUCAAUAUUUGUGCAGUAAAAAAGAGGGUUAGGGAGAAUGAGUUUAAAGAAAAGUUAUGGUUUUUUUAGGGGUAAAAUCUUUAUAAAAAAGUUAAUUUAUAAUCUUCUUUAUCUUGAAGCCCUGAAAUCUUAGUGUGAGACCGGGAUUAGGUACCCCGUUAUUUAAGAUGUAAAAUAUAAUCUAAUGAUUUACUGGGGUACUACGAGAGAUAAAAAUUUAAGUUUUUAUUAUAUUCUUAAAACCCAAAAGACUUGGCGGUGCCUCAAUCCUUUCAGGGGAAUCUGUCCUGUAAUCGAUAAUCCACGUUUUACCUUACCUAUUCUUGAAUUUUUAAAAAAUAAGCAGCCUGUAUACCGUCGCCGGUCAGGUUACCUUAGAGAGGAAAGUAACCUAGAAAAUAAUUAAUAUUUUGGUUUAUUUAUUUAAUGAUUAUUAAUCAAUUAAAUGUUUUGAGCUUAGAAAUUAAUUGUUCUCACGACAGAUCAAGGUGCAGCUAAUGAGUAGGUUAGAGAUGGAUUACAAUAAUGAUUUAUUAAUACGGAUUUGUUUUUGAAAUAAAAUCAAUGAAGGUGGACUUGAAAGUAAUGGAGUAGAGUAGAGAGCUUUAGUGAAAUUGGCUCUGAGGUGUGU